rnacentral:tmRNA from 1 species
UUUCGACAGGGGUUGCAAAGCGGAACAGGGCAUGCCGAGGACUGGUUACCUCGUUAAUCCAUCCGGAACUGCUUAAAUGCAAACGACGAAUCUUACGCUCUCGCAGCGUAAA